rnacentral:rRNA from 1 species
AUUGAACGCUGGCGGCAUGCUUUACACAUGCAAGUCGAACGGUAACAGGGUGCUUGCACCGCUGACGAGUGGCGAACGGGUGAGUAAUACAUCGGAAUGUACCCAGCAAUGGGGGAUAACGCUUCGAAAGGAGUGCUAAUACCGCAUACGCCCUGAGGGGGAAAGUGGGGGACCGCAAGGCCUCACGUGAUUGGAGCAGCCGAUGGCUGAUUAGCUAGUUGGUGAGGUAAAGGCUCACCAAGGCGACGAUCAGUAGCGGGUCUUAGAGGACGGUCCGCCACACUGGAACUGAGACACGGUCCAGACUCCUACGGGAGGAAGCAGUGGGGAAUCUUGGACAAUGGGCGCAAGCCUGAUCCAGCACUGCCGCGUGCAGGAAGAAGGCCUUCGGGUUGUAAACUGCUUUUGUACGGAACGAAACGGUCCUGGUUAAUACCUGGGGCUAAUGACGGUACCGUAAGAAUAAGCACCGGCUAACUACGUGCCAGCCGCCGCAGUAACAC